rnacentral:rRNA from 1 species
CUGUUUAACAAAAACAUUUUUUUAUGAGAAGGGUAAAGUAAGACCUGCCCAGUGAAGAUUUAACGGCUGCGGUAUACUAACCGUGCUAAGGUAGCAUAAUCAUUUGUUUUUUAAUUGGAAACUAGAAUGAAAGGUUUUACAAAAUUUUAAAUUAUAUUUAAUUAGAAUUGAAUUUAAAUUUUAAGUAAAAAUUCUUAAAUAAUAUAAAGGGACGAUAAGACCCUAAAAGCUUAAUAUUAAGUAUUACGUAGUAUAUUGUUAUUAUAGUUACUUGAUAUUUGUAUUUAACUGGGGUAGUGAUCUUAUUAAAUUGAGUUUAGUUAAACAAAAUGGUGAUAUGGUCCUUUAUAUAGGGAUAAAAUGAAUAAGUUACUUUAGGGAUAACAGUGUGAUAAUUACGGAAAGACCAUAUUUAUGUAAUUGAUUGCCACCUCGAUGUUGAAUUAAAAUUACAAUAUAAAGUAGAAAGU